AGGCGGAACCUCUUCCCGCUGCUCCCGGAGGCCUUCAAGGGCGUCAAGCAGAUCGGGGUCAUCGGAUGGGGCUCACAGGGUCCGGCACAGGCCCAGAACCUGAGGGAUUCCUUGGUGGAAGCCAAGACUGACAUCGUCGUC